rnacentral:rRNA from 1 species
GCUUGUUUCAAAGAUUAAGCCAUGCAUGUCUAAGUAUAAGCGAACUUAUAUAGUGAAACUGCAGAUGGCUCAUUAAAACAGUUUGAAUUUAUUUGAUGAAUGUGCGAGAGUACUACAUGGAUAUCCGUAGUAAUUCUAGAGCUAAUACAUGCAAGAACGCCCGACCAUUUCGGAAGGGUUGUAUUUAUUGGAUACAAAAACCAGACCUGGCAACAGGUUUUGUUUGUUGAUUCACAAUAACUGAUCGGAUCGAGGCCUCGGCUUCGAUAGGUCAUUCAACAUUCUGCCCUAUCAGCUUUCGAUGGUUCUGUAGUGGACAACCAUGGCAGUAACGGGUAACGGAGAAUCAGGGUUCGGUUCCGGAGAGGGAGCUUGAGAAUUGGCUACCACAUCUAAGGAAGGCAGCAGGCGCGCAAAUUACCCAAUCCUGACUCAGGGAGGUAGUGACAAAAAAUAACAAUACCGGAUCUUUUUGGGUUUGGUAAUUGGAAUGAGAACAAGUUAAACUUUUUAUCGAGGAUCCAUUGGAGGGCAAGUCUGGUGCCAGCAGCCGCGGUAAUACCAGCUCCAAUAGCGUAUAUUCAAGUUGUUGCAGUUAAAAAGCUCGUAGUUGGACAUGUGUGCGCUGAUGUUUAGCGGUCUGCGCUCAAAAGAGUGUUACGACAUGCGGCAUCGGCGCCGUAAAAUCUUCAACUGGAUCGUGUCUGGUCUUGAUUGACUGGGCGCUGUUCAUUCGGUUGAUCGUUUACUGUGAGAAAAUUAGAGUGUUCAAGGCAGGCAUUAUUGCAAUUGAAUAUGUUAGCAUGGAAUAAUAAGAUAGGGCUUUCGCUUUAUUUUGUUGGUUUCUAGAGUGGAAGUAAUGAUUGAUAGGGACAGUUGGGGGUGCUAGUAUUCAGCGGCCAGAGGUGAAAUUCAUGGAUUCGCUGAAGACUAACUUAUGCGAAAGCAUUCACCAAGGAUGUCCUCUUUAAUCAAGAACGAAAGUUGGGGGAUCGAAGACGAUCAGAUACCGUCGUAGUCUCAACCAUAAACUAUGUCGACUAGGGAUUGGCGGUCGUUUUUAUUGUAAGACUCCGUCAGCACCUUAUGAGAAAUCAAAGUGUUUGGACUCUUGGGGAAGUAUGGUCGCAAGGCUGAAACUUAAAGGAAUUGACGGAAGGGCACCACCAGGAGUGGAGCCUGCGGCU